rnacentral:rRNA from 1 species
CGGACCGGCGCACGGGUGCGUAACGCGUAUGCAACCUACCUUUAACAGGGGGAUAACACUGAGAAAUUGGUACUAAUACCCCAUAAUAUCAUAGAAGGCAUCUUUUAUGGCUGAAAAUUCCGAUGGUUAGAGAUGGGCAUGCGUUGUAUUAGCUAGUUGGUGGGGUAACGGCUCACCAAGGCGACGAUACAUAGGGGGACUGAGAGGUUAACCCCCCACACUGGUACUGAGACACGGACCAG